AGAACGAACGCUGGCGGCAUGCCUAACACAUGCAAGUCGAACGAGAUCUUCGGAUCUAGUGGCGCACGGGUGCGUAACGCGUGGGAAUCUGCCUUUCGGUACGGAAUAACUCAUGGAAACGUGUGCUAAUACCGUAUGAUGUCGCGAGGACCAAAGAUUUAUCGCCGAGAGAUGAGCCCGCGUAGGAUUAGCUAGUUGGUGGGGUAAAGGCCUACCAAGGCGACGAUCCUUAGCUGGUCUGAGAGGAUGAUCAGCCACACUGGGACUGAGACACGGCCCAGACUCCUACGGGAGGCAGCAGUGGGGAAUAUUGGACAAUGGGCGCAAGCCUGAUCCAGCAAUGCCGCGUGAGUGAUGAAGGCCUUAGGGUUGUAAAGCUCUUUUACCCGGGAAGAUAAUGACUGUACCGGGAGAAUAAGCCCGGCUAACUCCGCGCCAGCAGCCGC
rnacentral:rRNA from 1 species